rnacentral:rRNA from 1 species
AUGUUGAAAGAUAUUCUGUUGAGAUAUGAGGAGGCAUCGGGCCAACGAGUUAAUCUAGAAAAGUCCUCUAUUUUCUUCGGGAAGGGCUUUCAGGAAGGAAACAAAAAUGCACUCAAAGAUGCAUUGGGUGUCCAGUCCGAAGCUUUGAGCGAGCGGUAUCUGGGAUUGCCAACACUGGUUGGACAGUCCAAGGAGGGCACUUUCAAAUAUGUGACAGAG